rnacentral:lncRNA from 1 species
GAGAAACCAAAAGAAAUCCACCCGAAAAAAGGAAAAAAAAAUUCAAAAAAAAAAAAACUCUGCUCUCUCUCUCCACCCAUUUCUAAAGGUUGAACCCCAAUCUUAGGGGCCCCCACUGAUCCUGUCCUGGGUCAUCGUGGAGGAGGUAAAUCGCAGGAUGUGCCUCUCAGGAGCCAGGGUAGAGAGCAUAUGAAUAGGCCAAGGCUGUUAACCCAUAUGGUAACUCCCGCUUGCAACAAAAUCAAUUCCACCUUGCGGGGAAUCGAACUCUGCACACUGCAGCGCUGAGUCCUAUCCGCUCUCCCCUUUGCCACUGGGAGAUAUGCCUGGGGGCCUCUCCACCCAUUUCUCUUUACACGCACAGUAGAGAGAGAAAAAAUUAUCGCAAUCUGGUCUUUCUCCCUGAUUUUGUUUGGUUUUUUGUACAUAUUUAUUUAUUCUCUCUCUAAUCUAUUUCUAAAGCCUUUUCUUGUGAGAGAAAGAUUUGUUUGUUUUCCUUCUCGGAAAUUAUAUUUUUGCUGCUGUAUCGAUCGAAUCUGACAAUGAGGCGAGGCAGAGGAGCGACGGCGGCGGCAAGGCAAAUGGCGGCGAACGGCAGAGAGGCCAACGGAUCUGGAGGAUCUAAGGAGAUCAAAUUUCGGGGAGUGAGAAAGAGACCAUGGGGAAAAUUUGCUGCAGAGAUCAGAAACCCUUGGAAGAAGACUGGGGUGUGGCUAGGUACGUUUGAUUCUGCUGAAGACGCGGCUAGGGCCUACGACGCUGCUGCUCUAUCUCUCCGGGGCCACAAGGCUAAGACGAACUUUCCGUUAUCCAACACCCAGAACGGCGUCUUCCAUGAAUUCAACCCUCAAAAUUUUAAUAAUCAACAGAUCAGUAAUCUGCCUAACGAUCCGUUCAUGGUGGAUCCUCGAUUUUACCCUCAGGACCACCAGAUAGUUGGCCCGCAGAGGCCUACCUCCAGCGGCAUGAGCAGCACCGUCGAGUCGUUUAGUGGACCCAGGCAGCUGGCACCUCCGCAACUUAUUCAGCCGCAAAGGAGAUAUCCCAGGUCGCCGCCGAUGUCUCCUGACGACUGUCACAGCGACUGUGAUUCCUCCUCCUCCGUUGUGGAUGAUGGUGAAUGCGACGUCGCCGCCUCCUUAUGUAAAAAGCCUUUACCUUUCGACCUCAACUUCCCGCCGCCAAUGGACGCUUAUGGUGUAGACUCUGACGUGUGCGACCUAGCUUGCACGGCCCUCCGACUUUGAUGUUGUGUCCUGAUGACGACCAAAUCAUUUGGAAAACUCAUCUAGUUAAAUUACUUAUUUCUUUUCCUUUUUUUAAUUUUUUGUUUUUAUUUUGCGGAGGAAAACCCUAAAAAAAUGAAAAAAAAAAUGCUCAUAGCUAGGGUAAAGCCUUUGGUGAGAUAAAAACUAAAGUGGGUUGGAGGUCAGGCUGCUAUGGGUAUCCUGUUGUUUGAAGAGGAUUUACUUGAAUUAGAUUUAUAAAAUUGAUGUUAUGGAAAAUAGAGGAUAUUAUGAUGGAUGGAUAUUCAGUGUCCCUUUGUGAUAUUAUUGUCUUUCGAUGAUUGCGUGUCAUCGACUGUCCUAUUGACUUCUUUGGAAUGUAUAUGAAAUCUGUUGUCGAAGACUUGUGUAUUGUUUUAUUUACUUUUAAAACUAGAUGUAAGAACGUCUACUAUCUAUUUGUUAUGUGUCGUUUCUGGAUUUUUUUCUUGCUGAUUUAUGAAAUCCAUUUUCGGAUCUUUUAAUGUAAAAAUGGAAGUCUCAUCUCAUUCAAUGCUACAAGAACGACUACUUAUGCUGCACUUGUGCGAUAAAUUUUGUUCCAUGUUAUGUUCAUUUCAUUUGUUUCAUAUGGUUUGCCAUUCUUUUGGAUGAUUUGAGCUGCAAGUUGUUUGCUAGCUUUAUAUACAUCUCAUGUGAUUAACAUGUUGGUCAUUAGCUAUCCGGAUGGACUGGUGUAACUUUAGUUUUUCUUGCAGGCUUGUUUGAAUUGUUGUCCUGUCUGCAUUUUUAGUUUGGUAUGGCUCAGUAGUAAGAUUUGAUGUACUGGCUUAUCUGAGCUUUUACUACUUAGGUUUGCUACUAUCUAUUGAUUCUGAUAUGCUUGAAGGUAUCAUGAGUUAUGAAAGCAAUCUUCUUAGCUUUUUGUCAAGUUCAAGUUUUUGCCUUUGUGCUUUUGUGCUUAACAAUAACCCUAUCUCUUCCUCGAGGUGUAGGGAGCUUUAUGCUAUCUCUUUUUUGUUUUUACAUGGUUCAUGCCCAAGACUUGUGCAUGAGGUUUCCUCUUUGUUUAAAAUCACUGCAUUCAAGUUUAACGUGUUUGAUGACUUUCGGGUAACAGUUUCUUAUGGUUAGAUUUCUAUAAUGAUUAGAUAUGUGUGGAUAAAUUCAUUUCCUGUACAUUUAUACUGGCAGAUCAAUAUGGUUAGAUUUUAUGGAUGAUUGGUCAUUAAUAUGCCGUUACUGGUUUACAACCUGCAUUGUCCAUGUCGCGACAAAAUAGAAGCAGAUUGGAAUUUAAUACCGUUUACUUAAAAGUAGCUAUUCAUCAGAAUAUCUCCUAAGCCUCCUUUUAAGAUGCUAAAUUGACUGCAAUAUUGAUCGAUUAAUACCUUUUUAGCAUGUUUGUUAGUGUUCUCAGUCAUUUUAUCGUGUUUAUUUCUUUUCAUGCUACGUUAUACAGUCAUUUGUAUGCAAGUUCUUUACACAUUCACUACCUCAAUUCUUUAUUGCAAAUUCUUUCCCGUAAUGGGGGCCAAACAGGGGCUUAAAAUGAAGUUUAACCAUUAUCAUUCAUCACCUAUUAUAAAGUGUCACGUACUUAUCAUAAACUAAGUACGGAAGUUUAGUUUUAGCCCUGGUUUGAGUCACAUUAUUGGAAUGAAAAUGUAUUUUUAAAUAGUGUAAUAAUGAAAAAUAUGUGGUUAAAAAAUAAAUAAAAAUUUUGAUGUACGUAUAAUAAUAUUUUAUCGAAAAAUGUGUGAUUGAAAUGAUUUCAAACAUUAUUCAAAAAUAUAUUUUUUUCAAAAAAUAUGGUUCAAAUAAGCCUAAAUUAAAAAGUUGUUUUGGUCUUUUCAUAAAGGCGGAGAAAUCGAGAAACCAAAAGAAAUCCACCCGAAAAAAGGAAAAAAAAAUUCAAAAAAAAAAAAACUCUGCUCUCUCUCUCCACCCAUUUCUAAAGGUUGAACCCCAAUCUUAGGGGCCCCCACUGAUCCUGUCCUGGGUCAUCGUGGAGGAGGUAAAUCGCAGGAUGUGCCUCUCAGGAGCCAGGGUAGAGAGCAUAUGAAUAGGCCAAGGCUGUUAACCCAUAUGGUAACUCCCGCUUGCAACAAAAUCAAUUCCACCUUGCGGGGAAUCGAACUCUGCACACUGCAGCGCUGAGUCCUAUCCGCUCUCCCCUUUGCCACUGGGAGAUAUGCCUGGGGGCCUCUCCACCCAUUUCUCUUUACACGCACAGUAGAGAGAGAAAAAAUUAUCGCAAUCUGGUCUUUCUCCCUGAUUUUGUUUGGUUUUUUGUACAUAUUUAUUUAUUCUCUCUCUAAUCUAUUUCUAAAGCCUUUUCUUGUGAGAGA